UGGGAGGGCAAAGGAAGAAAUUUAAUUUUUAUUUUUAUUUAAUGACAUAGGGCUUCGUGAUUUUGUGUAUAUAUAGUUCUCCAUCAUCUACCUUUUACUGAGUUAGGGUUUUAGCCAGGCUGCGCUUGGGCACCAAUGAUUCUAGCUGUACAAUCACAUCGGUAGGACGCAAAUUGUUUUCUAUGUAUAUGGAUUUUGAAUAUAUGGGGCUGGAGUUUGGCUCUUUGGCUGGUUACCUGUGCCAUAGAGAUGAAUGCAGCUCCCUAAAUCAAUCUUCUCAUCCUCUCACUCUUGUUCGCUACGAUUUUUUCUUAUCAUAGCGAAUUUCUUUGUGAGGUUGUCACAUUUUAUUCUUUAAAAAUCCUUUUUUUUUUUUUUCUAAAUUUUCAUUUAAUUGGUUUCUGCCUUUCUUCUUUAAAGUUAAUUAUCGAGCAGUAAUUCAGGCAGCCUCUUUGCAGAAGAUAUAGUAGCGAAGAAGGUGUUUAACUGCUCGGAUAUUAAUUGCCUUUUGCUCUUCAGACUUGCUGAUUUUUCAUUGAAGCUGGUCUAGUAAGCCUAAGCACAGUUAUGACUUUUCAUCUAUUUUCUUACCCCUUUCUUCCUUGUAAGUUGAAUUUUAUAGAUUGUUUGUUCGGUGGCAAGUGUGGGAAGCAAGAAGAAAAGGAAAGAAAAUCCAAUAAAUUUCUUUUUUAUUGGGAUUUUAGAUGAGGAAUCAAGGGGAAUAUCAAUAUCAUUAUCAAUAUAAACUAUAUAUAGCGGAUUGGUUGGUUGCAGAAGCCUACUUCUCUCUGAUGCUCUUUUGAAAUAAUCUUGAUCUCCAUUUUGUUAGUCUGUCUAGUCUGAACAAAAUUCCAUAGUUCAUUAUUAAGAAAAUAAAAAUUUUGCAGCUUUGCAUCAGUGUGUUUAUACCAACGAAGUGCUUGCUUGAGAACAAGAUGAGGUGAUAAUUAGAAGAAUCAUUUAAAGUUAAUCUAGAAGAAGAAGAAAUUCAACUUAAAACUUUAGAAGUGGAAAUUCAGCCUUCUAUGCGUCUUAAAAAAUAAAAUUUAAAGUGAUAUGUUGAAUUAACAGUAAGCUUAUUAUUGUAUUGUGUCUUGCUCUGAUACCAUAUCCAAGCAUUGGCUCAAUUUAAGUUUGCUGAAGUUAAAAUCCAGGUCUGAAUUUACAUUUUUGUUUCAAAUGUCUGGCUUAGAUUCUGCGUGUUAUUUAAGUAUGGAAUUUUUUGGUUUGAAUUAGUGAUCUUAAAUUGUCUUGUUCCUUUCCUUCCUGAGGAUUUAUUUAUCCUAUCAGGUUUCAGUACAGUUUGUUACUUCCUGACAAACUCAAUUGUAAGAAUUAAUUGAUAGAUAUCUUAUUUUAACAUAGUCCUAUGUAUGCUGCUCUGUGUUUUGCAGCAUAUUUAUUAGCAGGUGGUGUGAGCCUUCUAUUAAUGCUAUGUGUCUGUCAUGCCAUUGCUUGGAUUUCUGUUUGAAUGUACCUUAGAAUCCUGUAUACGUGAUUUGUGAUUUAUGGAUGCAUCUCUUUAAAAGAUAUUAUGGUGAUAAUCCUCACUUCUAUGCUUAAAAUUUUGAUGCAGAUUGGAUACGUCUUAUGUCCUAACUGUAAAUUUUUCAAAUGUGUUACCUUCCCAAAUUAUAGUGAUGGUGUGGAUCCAUUCUGAUGAGUCUUGUCGAGCUGGGAAUAUUUCAACCACUUUGCUUAGAGUUUUUUUUUUUUUUUUAAGGAGCUUAUUUAAGGUUCCUGUCUUUUCCAUUUAUUGCCUUUCAAAAGAUAUUCUUUGAGAAGCCUCUUUGUAACGUGCAUAUAUGAUUAAUGCAAUAUAGAUUGAAGGGCUAAAUAUGACUUCUUGUAUAUGCUUCACUGUGAUUGAUGAGUCAAAUAGUUCAGCACUGAUUGUUGAAUGCAGUAAUAGUUUUGGAUAAUUUUUUUCUUCUUUUUUUUUAUAAUGGCAAAAAGGGCUUUGACCAGGAGGCCAAGACCAAUUUGGUAUAUGUUCAUUAGACUUGAUGUGUCCUUUAUGGCUAGCAGAUGCAGAUGUACUGAUGGUGGUGAUUUAAGUUUUGGAAAAAUGGCAAAACUGUUCUGAUAUAUGUUAUUUCACUGUGAACAACAGCUAUCCUACAUUUGAAAUUACCAACCCAUUUCCUCUAUAUAUAAGCUAUAUUUUAGAGAAUGUUAUCAAUGGCGCAUGUGCCCUUCUUUUACAUUUUGGUGUCUUGAUUUUCUUUAAUAAUUAAAUUUAUGGAACAAUUGGAUGUCAGUAACAAUUUUCUUUUCUUGAUGAUUUGAAGUUAGAACGUGAAGUGUUGUCAAUGUAAUAAUAGUAAGACAGUCAAGACUUUACUAAGUCACCAAAUUGACAGUAAGCUGGGAAGUAAGAUGAUCAGUUGUUCAUGAGCUUUGUAGUUUAUAGACCUAUGACUGCAGCCAUAAAGAAUGUGUAAUUAGUACUUGAGCUGUCCAGCAAGGUGCUCUAGUCAUACGAGCAAACCUAUAUAAAGGUGGAGGCUUUGUCGUACCUUGUGGUUGCAAUUUUGUAUGGUAUUUGCAUAUACAAGAUGGAUCUGCAUUGGCAAGAAGGAAAAUAUGCUUUAAUCA